rnacentral:tRNA from 1 species
GCCCUAGUAGUAUAAACCAUUACA